CAUGGACGAGCCGAGCCUCCUGCGGCGCCGCGGGCUCCAGAAGGAGCUGAGCCUGCCACGCCGGGGCCGCGGGGCAAAGGCAGCUGGCGGUGUAGACGCGGGUAGCCUCGCCAUGAAGUCCCGCAGGGAUAAGCUACACAUCCCGGCCCUGACCCUCGAUCUGUCCCCGAGCAGCCAGAGCCCAGCGCUGCUCAGCCCCAGCAGCCCCUGCAGCCCCUGCAGCCCUUCGCUGGGCCUGCACCUUUGGAGGUGAGUGACUCGCGGCCUUAGUCCACCCUCUGCACGCGGCCCUGCUGCCCCCUCGGCCGGCCCGCAAGGCCCUACCUCGGACAGGUGGCUGGGCGAGGCUGGAACUUGAGCUGUGGCCCAAGGACUCUCGGGACAGGUGUGGGGCUCCCAGGCUCCCGGAACAUGGGCGGGACCAGAAUGCUCAGCCAGGCUCAGAGUUCAGCCCAGGUCUCAUCUGACCAAACUGAGGCUCCUGUGGCUGGGGUCUGUGGAGGGUUUAUGACGCCUUCCACCGCUAGCCAGGAUCUCACCUGUGUUCCGGAGGAAAUAUUAUGGGCUCCUCAUAUAUUUUGGGGGGCAAUCAUUUACACUUUAGUAUGAAUAAGCCACUUAGCUGUUUCCAUUGGCUUUUAAUGAGGAGAGCAAUUUAGAGCCAGGCAACAGCCAGGUACCUUCAUGCAAGCAGCGAGCACUUAGCAAGUGCCCACUGGGUGCCAGAUGCUAAGAACAUAGAUGUGAACAAGAGGAAGGCUGUCUCCUAGGGGUUCCCAGUCCCCUGAGGGAGGGUGACCAAGGAAUACAGGAACAGAUAAAUGAGACAUGUUCAAGUGGGUACCUGCAGGAAUGUGAUGUGUGAGCCACAGUGAGGAUGAAGCCAGGGGAAGAUUGAUGCCAGCUGGUGCAAACUGCAUGUGCAAAGGUCCUGGGGCAGGAGGAAGGUUUUUACAGCAUCUUCAGUUGCCUGGAUGGGGAGAUCUUUGGGCACAGGAAUGGAUGUGUUGAGAUAGAAGGCAGGUAGAGCAGCAUCCAGGCCAAGGGUGGUCAGGCCUGGGACUUCGCUAGGGAGCCACGGGCUGCUUUGAGCCUCAUUUUAUGCAGGAAAAUACAGGACCUCAGGAUGUGUCACCCAGUGACAGUGCUGGGCAGUGCUGGGCAGUGCUGGGCCAUAGGCCUGAUUCCUUGACCUCUGCCAGGCUGGGAUAGCAUGAGUUGCCAGUGGCUGAGAGGGUUUUACCAAGAGGAAAUGGAGGCAGAGAGAGUUUGGGGCUGGCCACCAGCCCACCAGGCUUCUCACUUGCCACCAGGGGGUGGGAGAGCCACCUGGCUGGGAUCAAGCAAGGAAACGGGUCCCUGCCCCCAGUCCCUGCCCCCAGUGUCUUGGCCCUGAACCUGAGGAAGUAUCACAAACCUCUCACUUGGCUUGUGUAGCAGCCAUUUACACCUUAGUAUGAAUGAGCCACUCAGAUCCUAGCAGUAAGCCCUCACUGACCCUCUGGAUGUGGGCUGUUCUGGCCUCAGGCCCUUUGCACGUGCUGUGCCCUCAGGCCAGAGCUUCAUUCCUUCUCUGUCUGCUGGGUCUCCACCAGGCCCUCAGAUGUGAAGACUCCCUGGCCACCCUCUUGCUCCCAUAUCCCACACAUAUCCAUGGCUUGUCUGUAUUCCUUCCGAGCCCCCUGUCAGGUGGGACCCCUCCAUCUUCUUGUGUGAUUGCUGAGCUGUUACUUUUUUCUUUCUUUGAGAUAAGGUCUCACUAUGUAGUUCAGACUGUCGUCCUUGAACUCACUCUGUAGUCCCGGGGUGGAACUCUCCAAGUGAUCCUCCUGUCUCAGCCUCUCCAGUGCUGGGAUCACAGGCGUGCGCCACCACGCCCAGCUUGCUGGGUGGUUUUUAAUCUAAUCUGUACAGCCUGGAUGAACAGGGAGCAGCUGCAAGGCUCCAUCCGUGGGGAGGGGGGUGGCAGUGGUCGGCGGUGGUUCCUUCUGGGGCCUUGAAUGCCAAGGGCAAGAGGAAGGUGGAAUUUCUAGCUCUGUCAGGGAGGUGGGGCGGAGAGGCACCGGCAGUGCGUGGGCAGGUGGGCAGCCUGAACUGACUACAGGUUGCGUGAAGGAUCAGUACACCUACCCGGGGCUUCGAUAUUACAGCCCCUAGGGUGUCAGAGAGAAGCAACCGUCAGGUCAUAGAGUGGCCGCGGGACACAGCCCGCGGGCGCACAGCAGCGUGGGUUUGCGGAGG
ensembl:lncRNA